rnacentral:rRNA from 1 species
AUGGAGGGCGCUCGCCGUGAGGAUGGACGGCGCGGAGAGGCGCGCUCGCGCCCGAGCUCCUGUGCCCAUGCCUCGCGCCUCCUUGCACCGCUCCGGCAGCCCCUCGCCAUCCGCCGUCGUGGGCGACCACCAGCAGCGCCCGUCGCGCCUCUCCGCGCGCCACUCGAAGGCCCCAGCCAGGCCGCGCAGCCGUCCUCCUCCUCGACCUCGCCUCUCCGUGCGACAACCGGCGCCGCCGCCGGCGGCCACGGGUCCAGCGCCGCCUUCGUCCUCCACCUUCUCCUAAAGCGCACGUCCGCCGCGGGCGCUGGCGGUGGCGCGGCGGUCCUUGCCCUCGAUCUCACCGAGGAAGGCGUCCUUGCCGAGCAGCUCGACGAGAGCGCUGCCAAUGUCACUGAACUGAAUCGCCAGCCAUCUCAGCCCACGUCUUUCAGCACGCAACCGGCGAACCCAUUCAGCAGCUCCUGGGCAAACAGCUUUGACCCCUGUUAA